AUUGAACGCUGGCGGCAGGCCUAACACAUGCAAGUCGAACGGCAGCACAGAAGAGCUUGCUCUUUGGGUGGCGAGUGGCGGACGGGUGAGUAAUGUCUGGGAAACUGCCCGAUGGAGGGGGAUAACUACUGGAAACGGUAGCUAAUACCGCAUAACGUCGCAAGACCAAAGUGGGGGACCUUCGGGCCUCACACCAUCGGAUGUGCCCAGAUGGGAUUAGCUAGUAGGUGGGGUAAUGGCUCACCUAGGCGACGAUCCCUAGCUGGUCUGAGAGGAUGACCAGCCAAACUGGAACUGAGACACGGUCCAGACUCCUACGGGAGGCAGCAGUGGGGAAUAUUGCACAAUGGGCGCAAGCCUGAUGCAGCCAUGCCGCGUGUAUGAAGAAGGCCUUCGGGUUGUAAAGUACUUUCAGCGGGGAGGAAGGCGGUGAGGUUAAUAACCUCGCCGAUUGACGUUACCCGCAGAAGAAGCACCGGCUAACUCCGUGCCAGCAGCCGCAGUAA
rnacentral:rRNA from 1 species